GCAGGCCUAAUACAUGCAAGUCGAACGCACCUUCGGGUGAGUGGCGGACGGGUGAGUAACGCGUGGGAACGUGCCCUUUGGUUCGGAACAACACAGGGAAACUUGUGCUAAUGCCGAAUGUGCCCUUCGGGGGAAAGAUUUAUCGCCAUUGGAGCGGCCCGCGUUGGAUUAGGUAGUUGGUGGGGUAAAGGCCUACCAAGCCUACGAUCCAUAGCUGGUCUGAGAGGAUGAUCAGCCACACUGGGACUGAGACACGGCCCANACUCCUACGGGAGGCAGCAGUAGGGAAUCUUGCGCAAUGGGCGAAAGCCUGACGCAGCCAUGCCGCGUGAAUGAUGAAGGUCUUAGGAUUGUAAAAUUCUUUCACCGGGGAAGAUAAUGACGGUACCCGGAGAAGAAGCCCCGGCUAACUUCGUGCCAGCAGCCGCGGUAAUACGAAGGGGGCUAGCGUUGCUCGGAAUUACUGGGCGUAAA
rnacentral:rRNA from 1 species